rnacentral:miRNA from 1 species
UGUGACAAAGCAAUGGAAAGGUAUGCUGUGAAUGUAAAAUAAUACUUCAUACAUUUUUUCAUUUUUCAAUCUUUCCUUUAAGACUGUUCAUAUUUGUGACAAACUUUUCAUAACAAAAACAUUUCAAAGUUAGAGAAGUUUGUCAU